rnacentral:rRNA from 1 species
UGGGGAAUUUUGGACAAUGGGGGAAACCCUGAUCCAGCCAUCCCGCGUGUGCGAUGAAGGCCUUCGGGUUGUAAAGCACUUUUGGCAGGAAAGAAACGUCGCGGGUUAAUACCCCGCGAAACUGACGGUACCUGCAGAAUAAGCACCGGCUAACUACGUGCCAGCAGCCGCGGUAAUACGUAGGGUGCAAGCGUUAAUCGGAAUUACUGGGCGUAAAGCGUGCGCAGGCGGUUCGGAAAGAAAGAUGUGAAAUCCCAGAGCUUAACUUUGGAACUGCAUUUUUAACUACCGGGCUAGAGUGUGUCAGAGGGAGGUGGAAUUCCGCGUGUAGCAGUGAAAUGCGUAGAUAUGCGGAGGAACACCGAUGGCGAAGGCAGCCUCCUGGGAUAACACUGACGCUCAUGUACGAAAGCGUGGGGAGCAAACAGGAUUAGAUACCCUGGUAGUCCACGCCCUAAACGAUGUCAACUAGCUGUUGGGGCCUUCGGGCCUUGGUAGCGCAGCUAACGCGUGAAGUUGACCGCCUGGGGAGUACGGUCGCAAGAUUAAAACUUAAAUGAAUUGACGGGGGUCAUAGCUGUUUCCU